GAUGAACGCUGGCGGCGUGCCUAAUACAUGCAAGUCGAACGAAACUUCUUUAUCACCGAGUGCUUGCACUCACCGAUAAAGAGUUGAGUGGCGAACGGGUGAGUAACACGUGGGCAACCUGCCCAAAAGAGGGGGAUAACACUUGGAAACAGGUGCUAAUACCGCAUAACCAUAGUUACCGCAUGGUAACUAUGUAAAAGGUGGCUAUACUACCGCUUUUGGAUGGGCCCGCGGCGCAUUAGCUAGUUGGUAGGGUAAAGGCUUACCAAGGCAAUGAUGCGUAGCCGAAUUGAGAGGUUGAUCGGCCACAUUGGGACUGAGACACGGCCCAAACUCCUACGGGAGGCAGCAGUAGGGAAUCUUCCACAAUGGGCGAAAGCCUGAUGGAGCAACGCCGCGUGGGUGAAGAAGGUCUUCGGAUCGUAAAACCCUGUUGUUAGAGAAGAAAGUGCGUGAGAGUAACUGUUCACGUUUCAACGGUAUCUAACCAGAAAGCCACGGCUAACUACGUG
rnacentral:rRNA from 1 species